rnacentral:rRNA from 1 species
UACUCCCUACGGGGGGCAGCAGUGAGGAAUAUUGGUCAAUGGUCGGGAGACUGAACCAGCCAAGCCGCGUGAGGGAGGAAGGUACAGAGUAUCGUAAACCUCUUUUGUCAGGGAACAAAGGCGGGGACGUGUCCCCGGAUGAGUGUACCUGAAGAAAAAGCAUCGGCUAACUCCGUGCCAGCAGCCGCGGUAAUACGGAGGAUGCGAGCGUUAUCCGGAUUUAUUGGGUUUAAAGGGUGCGCAGGCGGUCGGCUAAGUCAGCGGUCAAAGCCCGGGGCUCAACCCCGGCGCGCCGUGGAAACUGG